GGGGGCGAAACGGCUUCGACGGGGAUAUGGAAGCACUGGCUGCAUAUCGAGCUUCUAUCACUCGUAAAACGGUAGAACCUAAACAUAAUCGCAGAUGAUUAUAACUACGCCCUGGCUGCUUAGACAGCCAGCGUCCUAUCCAUUUAUUCCUGCGGACUGGAAUAGGGCGCCGAUUAGCAGGAUAGUUUAAUAAAUGCGCCUGUAGGUUUAUUAAGCGAAACAAAUUACAGGAUGGCGAUGUAAAAAUUUUGUUUGGAGAAGCUUUACAUUGCGACAAUUAAAAUUCAAACUAUGUAUGUAGAUGCCAUUGUGGAAUAUUUUCGGACGCGGGUUCGACUCCCGCCGCCUCCACCA
rfam:Candidatus Magnetomorum sp. HK-1 HK1c3026, whole genome shotgun sequence.